AGCGUACACGGUGGAUGCCCUGGCAGUCAGAGGCGAUGAAGGACGUGCUAAUCUGCGAUAAGCGUCGGUAAGGUGAUAUGAACCGUUAUAACCGGCGAUUUCCGAAUGGGGAAACCCAGUGUGUUUCGACACACUAUCAUUAACUGAAUCCAUAGGUUAAUGAGGCGAACCGGGGGAACUGAAACAUCUAAGUACCCCGAGGAAAAGAAAUCAACCGAGAUUCCCCCAGUAGCGGCGAGCGAACGGGGAGCAGCCCAGAGCCUGAAUCAGUGUGUGUGUUAGUGGAAGCGUCUGGAAAGGCGUGCGAUACAGGGUGACAGCCCCGUACACAAAAAUGCACAUAUUGUGAGCUCGAUGAGUAGGGCGGGACACGUGGUAUCCUGUCUGAAUAUGGGGGGACCAUCCUCCAAGGCUAAAUACUCCUGACUGACCGAUAGUGAACCAGUACCGUGAGGGAAAGGCGAAAAGAACCCCGGCGAGGGGAGUGAAAAAGAACCUGAAACCGUGUACGUACAAGCAGUGGGAGCACGCUUAGGCGUGUGACUGCGUACCUUUUGUAUAAUGGGUCAGCGACUUAUAUUCUGUAGCAAGGUUAACCGAAUAGGGGAGCCGAAGGGAAACCGAGUCUUAACUGGGCGUUAAGUUGCAGGGUAUAGACCCGAAACCCGGUGAUCUAGCCAUGGGCAGGUUGAAGGUUGGGUAACACUAACUGGAGGACCGAACCGACUAAUGUUGAAAAAUUAGCGGAUGACUUGUGGCUGGGGGUGAAAGGCCAAUCAAACCGGGAGAUAGCUGGUUCUCCCCGAAAGCUAUUUAGGUAGCGCCUCGUGAAUUCAUCUCCGGGGGUAGAGCACUGUUUCGGCAAGGGGGUCAUCCCGACUUACCAACCCGAUGCAAACUGCGAAUACCGGAGAAUGUUAUCACGGGAGACACACGGCGGGUGCUAACGUCCGUCGUGAAGAGGGAAACAACCCAGACCGCCAGCUAAGGUCCCAAAGUCAUGGUUAAGUGGGAAACGAUGUGGGAAGGCCCAGACAGCCAGGAUGUUGGCUUAGAAGCAGCCAUCAUUUAAAGAAAGCGUAAUAGCUCACUGGUCGAGUCGGCCUGCGCGGAAGAUGUAACGGGGCUAAACCAUGCACCGAAGCUGCGGCAGCGACGCUUAUGCGUUGUUGGGUAGGGGAGCGUUCUGUAAGCCUGCGAAGGUGUGCUGUGAGGCAUGCUGGAGGUAUCAGAAGUGCGAAUGCUGACAUAAGUAACGAUAAAGCGGGUGAAAAGCCCGCUCGCCGGAAGACCAAGGGUUCCUGUCCAACGUUAAUCGGGGCAGGGUGAGUCGACCCCUAAGGCGAGGCCGAAAGGCGUAGUCGAUGGGAAACAGGUUAAUAUUCCUGUACUUGGUGUUACUGCGAAGGGGGGACGGAGAAGGCUAUGUUGGCCGGGCGACGGUUGUCCCGGUUUAAGCGUGUAGGCUGGUUUUCCAGGCAAAUCCGGAAAAUCAAGGCUGAGGCGUGAUGACGAGGCACUACGGUGCUGAAGCAACAAAUGCCCUGCUUCCAGGAAAAGCCUCUAAGCAUCAGGUAACAUCAAAUCGUACCCCAAACCGACACAGGUGGUCAGGUAGAGAAUACCAAGGCGCUUGAGAGAACUCGGGUGAAGGAACUAGGCAAAAUGGUGCCGUAACUUCGGGAGAAGGCACGCUGAUAUGUAGGUGAAGUCCCUCGCGGAUGGAGCUGAAAUCAGUCGAAGAUACCAGCUGGCUGCAACUGUUUAUUAAAAACACAGCACUGUGCAAACACGAAAGUGGACGUAUACGGUGUGACGCCUGCCCGGUGCCGGAAGGUUAAUUGAUGGGGUUAGCGCAAGCGAAGCUCUUGAUCGAAGCCCCGGUAAACGGCGGCCGUAACUAUAACGGUCCUAAGGUAGCGAAAUUCCUUGUCGGGUAAGUUCCGACCUGCACGAAUGGCGUAAUGAUGGCCAGGCUGUCUCCACCCGAGACUCAGUGAAAUUGAACUCGCUGUGAAGAUGCAGUGUACCCGCGGCAAGACGGAAAGACCCCGUGAACCUUUACUAUAGCUUGACACUGAACAUUGAGCCUUGAUGUGUAGGAUAGGUGGGAGGCUUUGAAGUGUGGACGCCAGUCUGCAUGGAGCCGACCUUGAAAUACCACCCUUUAAUGUUUGAUGUUCUAACGUGGACCCGUAAUCCGGGUUGCGGACAGUGUCUGGUGGGUAGUUUGACUGGGGCGGUCUCCUCCUAAAGAGUAACGGAGGAGCACGAAGGUUGGCUAAUCCUGGUCGGACAUCAGGAGGUUAGUGCAAUGGCAUAAGCCAGCUUGACUGCGAGCGUGACGGCGCGAGCAGGUGCGAAAGCAGGUCAUAGUGAUCCGGUGGUUCUGAAUGGAAGGGCCAUCGCUCAACGGAUAAAAGGUACUCCGGGGAUAACAGGCUGAUACCGCCCAAGAGUUCAUAUCGACGGCGGUGUUUGGCA
rnacentral:rRNA from 1 species